rnacentral:snoRNA from 1 species
CCAACGUGGAUACCCUGGGAGGUCACUCUCACAGGGUUCUGCCCCAUGAUGUACAGUCCCUUUCCACAGUGUUGGAGAAAAAGCCGGGCCUUGAGUCUGCGCCUGCAUAUUCCUACAACUUCUCAGAGUCCUUUAGCUGGUGACUGAGGAGACAAACCAUGCAGGAAACAAGU